UUUGAUGAUUUUGGUGAUUUUAACAAUGAUAAACAAAAUGUAUGGAAUCUGGAUAUGUACGAUCUUAACGAUAAUUGUCAUACUACAUUUAGUGGUCCUAACACUUGGGAUAAUACUAAUACAUAUAAUAAUGAUAAGUAUUCAACUGAUAAAUAUUCAACUGAUAAAUAUUCAACUGAUAAAUANNNNNNNNNNAACUGAUAAAUAUUCAACUGAUAAAUAUUCAACUGAUAAAUAUUCAAAUGAUAAAUAUUCAAAUGGUAAUUAUUUAAAUGGUAAUUAUUUAAAUGGUAAUUAUUUAAAUGGUAAUUAUUUAAAUGAUAAUUAUUUAAAUGAUAAUUAUUUACUAAAUUGUAAAAAAAAAACACACAAAAAAAAAAAAAGUGAUAGGAAUAUUGAAAAUAGUAACUAUGGAGGUAUAUAUGUAAAUAUUUAUAAAAACAAAUUUACAUCUUUUUCAAUUAGUUUAUAUUACAGUAUAAUAUAUAUACUUAAAGUUUUGGAUAUACAACAAGAAGAUAUUGAUGUUUUUAAAAUUUUUCUUUACUAUAGUAUAGUUUUAAAGUUACAUGAUGACUUGUUAAAAUAUGAUAACGAAAUAAAAAAAAACGAAUUGAUUGUUAAUAAUCCUGUUGAGUGUAGACCAAAGGAUGAGACAAGCAAUUUUGAAAUUGCAAAUAAAUGGUCUGGAGGAAUAAAUCAAAAUAGUGACAAAAAAUGCUACAAUAACAGUACUGAUCAACAGAAUUUAAGUAACUAUACUAAGAAUUAUAAUAAAAACAUUCCUGAUGAUUUAAUUUGUAACAGUUAUAGUAGUGUUGCUAAUAAUGUUACCAAUUAUGAUUAUAAAUAUAAUAGUAAUAUGGUUUAUGGCAGUAAUAUUGCUAGGAGUAGAGAGAAUAAUAAUAAUGUAGUGCUGAAACGGAUUGACAAUGUUUUUUUUGUUUUUUUAGAUAUGAGCGUAAGAAAAUUAUGUGUGUUAUUUCAUUUAUAUUUUAGCAAGAUGCAAAUAGGUAUAUAUGAUAAAGAAAAAAUGAUUAACAAUUAUAUAUUAAACGAAAUGUUAAGUAAAAUAUUUUUUAUUAAAUAUAUGUAUACAAAAAUGGAGGGAAAAUUUUAUGAAAAUUUAAAUUUAAAUCUGAAUGUUAUAAAAAAUCGUAAUUAUAAUAAUAAUAUUUUAAAAUUCCCUUUAUUUAUUAAUUUAGAAAAUGAAUUAUAUAAAUAUUAUAAAAAAGUGGAUAUAAAAAAAGAUUUGAAUAUGCCUAUUUCUUUUUAUAUAUCUAAAAGAAGUAUAAAAGAAUUUAACGAUUUAUAUUUAAUAUUAUAUCAAACAAAUAUAAUAAUAAAUAUAUUAAUAAAUCAAAAAAAAUAUAUAAAACAUUGUUAUUUGUUGUCUUUUUCAUUCAUUUGUUAUAUUUUAACAAAUUUAUUACCAUUACCUAAACAUUUUAUAUAUUUAUCGAAAUAUAACCAAUUAAAAAGAGCAUUACAGAUAUGUAUUUUAAAUGAAAUUUAUCAUAUGGCUUUGAAUAUUUAUUUUAUAUCUUGUUCGAUUUGUAAUAAUAAACAAAUUGCAAUGUAUAAAAUAAUUAAUUUUGCUAUUUUGUUAUUUCUCUAUGAUUUUUUUUUGAGAAUACCAUGUGUGGAUGUCAACUCGAUUUUUGCGAUACACUAUAAUGGUUCGUUUUGUUCGCAACGUAGGCAUUAUAGGGGUCGGUCUGUAGAUACUACAUCUAGUUCGGAUACAACUACGAGUGGUAAUAAUACGGACAGUACUAAACGAACGAACCAUGGAACCAGAAAAGGUAAAAAAUUAAAAAGGUAUUACAAGCAAGGGCGAAAAGACGAAAAUAGGUGCAAGUACAAGCAGAAGUACCAACAAAAGUACCAACAAAAGUACCAACAUAAACGCCAACAUAAGUAUAGGGAGAAGGACGUGCAGUACAAAUACGAACAGAACUUAAACAGCGAUGAAUAUUCUUCUUUAGAUGAAGGGAUACAUGAACCAAAAGAUAUACUGAAACUUUCAGGAUAUUGUAUCGAUAUAUCAGUGUUAGAAUGUUUUAGUAACUAUUUUUUAAUGAUGAAUCCUAAGUUGAACAUAAUACGUUCAGAUAUUAUUGAAUAUUUUUACAAGAUAAAUGAAAAAAAAAUAAAUAAAAAUAGUCAAUUAUUUUUAUUUGAUAAAAGUAAUGAUAUAAAUUUAAGUGAAAUAGCACUGUUAGAAAAUAUUAGUUUAGAUUUGGGUUUUGAUCGAAAGAAAAGUCAUAUAAUUGAAUAUUAUUGU
ensembl:lncRNA